rnacentral:ncRNA from 2 species
UACGUAGGGGGCGAGCGUUGUCCGGAAUUAUUGGGCGUAAAGAGCGUGUAGGCGGUUCGGUAAGUCUGUCGUGAAAUCCUGGGGCUCAACCCUGGGCGUGCGAUGGAUACUGCCGGGCUAGAGGGUGGUAGAGGCGAGUGGAAUUCCCGGUGUAGCGGUGAAAUGCGCAGAUAUCGGGAGGAACACCAGUAGCGAAGGCGGCUCGCUGGGCCACACCUGACGCUGAGACGCGAAAGCUAGGGGAGCGAACAGG